AAAUUCUAAAUACCAGUUUUUUGUGGAUGCUUUGGUUCAAAAGAAGAAGGACGUUGUACAAAACGAAACGUUAUACCUAGAGUGCACUCGGUGAGGUAUAAAUUUCCUCCGUGGGAAACCACUGGCUUUUAUUUAACUGGGUGAAUUGAAACAUCUAAGUAACCCAAGGAAAAGAAAUCAACCGAGAUUCCGUAAGUAUCGGCGAGAGAACAUGGAAAAGACCAAACACCUUGGAAAGUCACCGCCGAAAGAUGUGGAAAAAUCUACCAAAGAGGGUGAAAGUCCCGUAGACGUGGCUUCUAAGGUGUGUUCAAAAGAGUAAAACGAAAGUAUUUGUUUGAAUACAGGAGGCCCACCUUCUAGGUCUAAAUAUGCUUUUGAAACCAAUAGUGAACAAGUACCGUGAGGGAAAAGUGAAAAGAACCUUAACUAAGGAGUGAAAGAGAACCUGAAACAAAAAAUAACCAUGCAAUCGAUUUUCUCUGUACGGGAGGUCGGUGUACCUUUUGCAUAAUGGGUCAGCGAGUAAAUAAAAAAAGCGAGGCUUAAACGACGAAGUGGAGGCAAAGCAAAAGCGAGUAUGAAGAGUGCGUGUGUUUUUUUUAUUUGACCCGAAACUAAGUGAUCUAGCUUUGAACAGGCUGAAGAAAGGGUAAAAGCUUUUGGAGGGCCGAACUGACGUCUGUUGCAAUAGACGCAGAUGAGUUGAGGCUAGGGGUGAAAGGCCAAUCAAACUUAGAGAUAGCUGGUUCUCCGCGAAAUUUAUUGAGGUAAAGCGUUCAACGAUGUAGAAAGGGGGUAGAGCACUCAUUAGGUAAAGGGGAUCCAAAGUCUUACUGAACUUAUUGAAACUCCGAAGACCUUUCUUUGAUAUCUUGAGCAGACAGACUUAAAGUGCUAAGGUUUUAAGUCAAAAGGGAAACAGCCCAGACUGUUCGCUAAGGUCCUUAAACAUUUUGGAAGUGGUAAAAGGCGUUUUAAAACAAAGACAGCUAGGAGAUUGGCUUGGAAGCAGCCAUUCUAUAAUGAAAGCGUAAUAGCUCACUAGUCGAGUUUUAAAGCACUGAUAAUGUAUCGGGGCUUCACAAAAUUACCCAAGCGACAGAGAACAAUGGUAGCGGAGCGUUUUGUAGACCGUAGAAGAAGUUUUGUGAAAAACUUUGGAGGAUUCAAAAGUGAGAAUGCUGACAUGAGUAACGAAAAAUCAUGUGACAAUCAUGAUCGCCGUAAGUUCAAGGGUUUCUGCGUUCUGUUUUUCAGCGCAGAGUGAUCCGGUCUCUAAGUGUGUUUUUGAUAAAAAACCACGAUGAAAAAAAUGAAAGAUGACGAAAUGUUUUUUAGAAACCAACAGUUUAUUGGAUAGCUUUUUCGUUUCUAAUGUUUCCAGGAAAAAUCUUCAUAAAAUUGACCGUACCCUAAACCGACACCGGUGAACGAGUCGAGUAGACUCAGGCGUUGAGAGAACCAUAUUGAAGGAACUCGGCAAAUUUUUCCUGUACCUUUGGAAGAAAGGAAGCCAAUUUUGGUGACACAAAAAUGGGGGUGACGACUUUUUACUAAAAAAUUAGGACUCUGCAAAAUGGGAACAUGAAGUAUAGGGUCUGACGCCUGCCCGGUGCUUGAAGCUUAACCUGUAUGCUUUUUUGGUAUAUUGAGAAGGCCUAGUAAACGGCGGUUGUAACUAUAACAAUCAUAAAGUAGCGAAAUUCAUUGUCAGCUAAUUCCUGACCUGCAUGAAAGGCGUAACGAUUGCCCCACUGUCUCCAGUAUGGACUCAGUGAAAUUGAAUUCUCCGUGCAGAUGCGGAGAACGUGCCCCAAGACGAGAAGACCCUAUGCAUCUUUACUGUACAUUUACACUGGAAAAA
rnacentral:rRNA from 1 species